rnacentral:rRNA from 1 species
UACAGAGGGUGCAAGCGUUGUUCGGAAUUAUUGGGCGUAAAGCGCGUGUAGGCGGCAUGGCAAGUCGGGUGUGAAAGCCCUCAGCUUAACUGAGGAAGUGCGCCCGAAAACUGCCGUGCUUGAGUGCCGGAGAGGGUGGCGGAAUUCCCCAAGUAGAGGUGAAAUUCGUAGAUAUCGGGAGGAACACCAGUGGCGAAGGCGACUUCCUGGCCUGUUCUUGACGCUGAGGCGCGAAAGCUAGGGUAGCAAACGGG